rnacentral:rRNA from 1 species
UACGAAGGGGGCUAGCGUUGUUCGGAAUUACUGGGCGUAAAGCGCAUGUAGGCGGCGAUUCAAGUCGGGGGUGAAAUCCCAGGGCUCAACCCUGGAACUGCCUUCGAUACUGUAUUGCUAGAGUGUGGAAGAGGUUGGUGGAACUGCAAGUGUAGAGGUGAAAUGCGUAGAUAUCUGGAGGAAUACCGGUGGCGAAGGCGGCAUCCUGGACCAUAACUGACGCUGAGGCGCGAAAGCUAGGGGAGCAAACGGG